rnacentral:Y_RNA from 1 species
AGCUGGUCCGAAGGUAAUGAGUUAUACCAAUUGAUUGUUCCCAGACAGUUACAGAUUGAACAAGGAUCCUUGUUGAACUACUGCACUCGACUGGUCUUAA